UACAGAGGGUGCGAGCGUUAAUCGGAAUUACUGGGCGUAAAGCGCGCGUAGGCGGCUUUGCAAGUCGGGUGUGAAAUCCCCGGGCUUAACCUGGGAACUGCAUUUGUGACUGCAUGGCUAGAGUGCGGCAGAGGGGGAUGGAAUUCCGCGUGUAGCAGUGAAAUGCGUAGGUAUGCGGAGGAACACCGAUGGCGAAGGCAAUCCCCUGGGCCUGCACUGACGCUCAUGCACGAAAGCGUGGGGAGCAAACAGG
rnacentral:rRNA from 1 species